GCUCAGAACGAACGCUGGCGGCAUGCCUAACACAUGCAAGUCGAACGAACCCUUCGGGGUUAGUGGCGCACGGGUGCGUAACGCGUGGGAAUCUGCCCUUUGCUUCGGAAUAACAGUUAGAAAUGACUGCUAAUACCGGAUGAUGUCUUCGGACCAAAGAUUUAUCGGCAAGGGAUGAGCCCGCGUAGGAUUAGGUAGUUGGUGGGGUAAAGGCCUACCAAGCCGACGAUCCUUAGCUGGUCUGAGAGGAUGAUCAGCCACACUGGGACUGAGACACGGCCCAGACUCCUACGGGAGGCAGCAGUGGGGAAUAUUGGACAAUGGGCGCAAGCCUGAUCCAGCAAUGCCGCGUGAGUGAUGAAGGCCUUCGGGUCGUAAAGCUCUUUUACCAGGGAUGAUAAUGACAGUACCUGGAGAAUAAGCUCCGGCUAACUCCGUGCCAGCAGCCGCGGUAAUACGGAGGGAGCUAGCGUUGUUCGGAAUUACUGGGCGUAAAGCGCACGUAGGCGGCUACUCAAGUCAGAGGUGAAAGCCCGGGGCUCAACCCCGGAACUGCCUUUGAAACUAGGUAGCUGGAAUCUUGGAGAGGUCAGUGGAAUUCCGAGUGUAGAGGUGAAAUUCGUAGAUAUUCGGAAGAACACCAGUGGCGAAGGCGACUGACUGGACAAGUAUGAC
rnacentral:rRNA from 1 species